GACGAACGCUGGCGGCGUGCUUAACACAUGCAAGUCGAACGGAAAGGCCCUGCUUUUGUGGGGUGCUCGAGUGGCGAACGGGUGAGUAACACGUGAGUAACCUGCCCUUGACUUUGGGAUAACUUCAGGAAACGGGGGCUAAUACCGGAUAUGAGCUCCUGCUGCAUGGUGGGGGUUGGAAAGUUUCGGCGGUUGGGUAUGGACUCGCGGCUUAUCAGCUUGUUGGUGGGGUAGUGGCUUACCAAGGCUUUGACGGGUAGCCGGCCUGAGAGGGUGACCGGCGACACUGGGACUGGGAUACGGCCCGAAGCAGUACGGGAGGCAGUAGUGGGGAAUAUGGCACAAUGGGCGGACGACGGAGGCAGCAACGCCGCGUGCGGGAUGACGGACUUCGCGUUGGAGACCGCUUUCGCCUGUGACGAAGCGUAAGUGACGGUAAUGGGUAAAGAAGCCCCGGCUAACUACGUG
rnacentral:rRNA from 1 species